CCGCAACCUGGCGUCGGGACCCCGGCCGCCAGCGAUCUCAGCUCUACAGCCGGAAACCUGGCGGCAGACACUCCGCGGCUCCGAAGGUGGUGUAUAGAUGAUGAAUGGGAGCCCAGAAUAGAGACAUUUGCUGGGACCAGAUGUAUCAGGGAAGAUUUCUUGGUAGAUCUAAUACUGAAGCAGUCUCCUCCAGAUGAAGAGGAGAGCUAGUGAAGAAGUGUAGAAAGGAAAGUUCUUGUUGGAACUCAAAGGAAGACCUAAAAUACUCAAGAUCAUGCAGUAAAUGACAGUACUGGGACUCAGACUCAUUUAUCCUCAUCAAACAUCUUAGUUCUGUCUCUGGUUGUUUUCUUUCUGUGCCUCCAUAGGUGGCAUCCACUCAUGCUGCAACAAAAACCAGGCAUCUUCUUUCUAUAGAUUUUACUAUGGUAUAUAUAGUUUCAUGAAUGAAACAUUCUUACAGAAGGAAAGUGUAUACAAGUCUUUGCAGAAACAUUUUCCCUGUAAAUAUGUACAUUGAUGUCUAGUCCAUGAAUUGAUUGCAAAGUUUACCACUUUGUGAGCUGUCACUUAUUUUUCUGCUAUUUUAAUCCUAUCCACAUUCUUGC